rnacentral:rRNA from 1 species
GUGGGGAAUAUUGGACAAUGGGCGAAAGCCUGAUCCAGCCAUGCCGCGUGUGUGAAGAAGGUCUUCGGAUUGUAAAGCACUUUAAGUUGGGAGGAAGGGCAGUAAGUUAAUACCUUGCUGUUUUGACGUUACCAACAGAAUAAGCACCGGCUAACUUCGUGCCAGCAGCCGCGGUAAUACGAAGGGUGCAAGCGUUAAUCGGAAUUACUGGGCGUAAAGCGCGCGUAGGUGGUUCAGCAAGUUGAAGGUGAAAUCCCCGGGCUCAACCUGGGAACUGCCUCCAAAACUGCAUGACUAGAGUACGGUAGAGGGUAGUGGAAUUUCCUAUGUAGCGGUGAAAUGCGUAGAUAUAGGAAGGAACACCAGUGGCGAAGGCGACUACCUGGACUGAUACUGACACUGAGGUGCGAAAGCGUGGGGAGCAAACAGGAUUAGAAACCCUAGUAGUCC